rnacentral:ncRNA from 1 species
AUCCGAGAGAGACCGUGUGCGGCGCCGAAGGGGAACGCAAAAACUCUCAGGCAAAAGGAUCGGAU